ACAGAAAAGAGGGAAUGCACUUGCUAAACUGAUGCAGGGAUGAAAUUGACUGGAAGAGCUUAGUAAAAAAACUGCUGUUCCUGUUAAAUGGAGCUCUGAGUUUUAGGAGUUGCCACGUUCACAGGAAAGGAAUGCGGUGGUGUUUAGUCUCUUAGACUGGAAUCAACAUUUACACAAGAAAAAGUUAGACAACUAGAUCAUUUUGAAUGGCACAUUAAGUAUGGCCUGCUUGCCUGCAGAAGCUGCUCCUCCCAAGAUCUCAGAUUGCAUUACCGACUUACAAAAACCUGACAAAUUGUAAAGGUGUGUAUCUUUACCUCCUACAGAUUGGGACACAAGAUAAAAGCUAA